GAUGAACGCUGGCGGCGUGCCUAAUACAUGCCAGUCGAGCGAACAGAUGAGGAGCUUGCUCCUCUGACGUUAGCGGCGGACGGGUGAGUAACACGUGGAUAACCUACCUAUAAGACUGGGAUAACUUCGGGAAACCGGAGCUAAUACCGGAUAAUAUAUUGAACCGCAUGGUUCAAUAGUGAAAGACGGUUUUGCUGUCACUUAUAGAUGGAUCCGCGCCGCAUUAGCUAGUUGGUAAGGUAACGGCUUACCAAGGCAACGAUGCGUAGCCGACCUGAGAGGGUGAUGGACAACCAGGAAACGGAGAAACGGCCAGACCACCGAGGGAGGAAAGAGGAAGGGACUCUACAAGAAGGGGAGAAGGCCGGAGGGAGAAACGAGGGGGGAGGAAUGAGGGUCUUGGGAUCGAAAAACUCUUUUAUGAGGGAAAAAAAAGUGUGAAAGUAACAAUGCGCGUCUGAAGGGAACAUAAUAAGAAGGCCAGGGCAAACCACGUC
rnacentral:rRNA from 1 species